rnacentral:rRNA from 1 species
UGGCGAACGGGUGAGUAACACGUGAGUAACCUGCCCUUGACUUUGGGAUAACUUCAGGAAACUGGGGCUAAUACCGGAUGGGAGCUCCUGCUGCAUGGUGGGGGUUGGAAAGUUUCGGCGGUUGGGGAUGGACUCGCGGCUUAUCAGCUUGUUGGUGGGGUAGUGGCUUACCAAGGCUUUGACGGGUAGCCGGCCUGAGAGGGUGACCGGCCACAUUGGGACUGAGAUACGGCCCAG